CUAAUGAAUUCCAGAUCAUGCAGUCUAAUCUAAUACUAUCAGAAAGUUACAGCAUAGGAUUUCUUUACAUGCACGAGUAAAAUAUAAGAUGUUGACGAAUGAAUGAACUCAAAAUGUCCUAAUGCUUGCUUCAAAUUAAGCAACACAAAAAUUUAGUGGCAAUUUACUAAAAAAUGCAUAACAGGGAAUCACAUACUUCUACAAUAGGGAAUUACAAAUACACAAUGGAAGCAACAUUUAACCUGUACAGUAGCAAUUUUAUACUUUUUAAUAUUGGAAAGUGAACCACCAAUUCCAAAAAGUUGAAAAAUGGAAUCGGUAAUUACAUUUAAAGUUGAAAAAUAGAAUUUGUAAUUACAUUUAAAGUUGAAAAAUAGGGAAUCACAUAAAUCACUCAAUAUUUUCAUCUGCACCUAUGUCCCCUAAUUCAUAUAUAUCUUAUUUCUUUUAGGAAUGUGAGUUUUAUUUAUUUAUUUUUCUUUUAUUUUUUAUUAUUUUUUUUAUUUUUUGGUGGGGUUUGUGAGAAAUUGCCCUUUCCCUCACAGUAACUUUAUUAUACCACAAUUUCAUGUUCAUACAUGAAUGGAAGGGACCACGACGACUAUUUCUAUGAAGAUUGAUCACAGCACAGUAUAAAAACACAAAAGAGAAAAGAAGAGACGGGGAAAGAGAAAAGAGACGAGUAGGUAUAACUAUAAGUACUGGAAACGGACAUUCAAUAUCUCAAUAAUCAAUAGUCUACCUAUAUAAAAAUUCAAUGCCUUUUUAUGCUUAGAAGUUAAAAAACUCCAAAUGGAAAAUUACCAAACUAACAAUAUGAAAACUUUCUUAUCUUGAACCUGACUAUUAAGGGAAGAGUAUAAAUAAAAUAUAUGGAAAUUCCUCAAAAUAAAUCCUCAUUUCUUUUCCCAAAAUAACAGCCUAAUAUUAUCUCGUCUUUGACAUAAUAUCCACUAGGAUCUCCAUCACUGACAGUCUGCACCUGAUUAAAAGUCAGGUGUAAUGGCACUAGACAUUAUGCAGGUUAGCCAUGAACCAGAGACAGCAAGUUAAAAAAACGAGUACCAUUACUGAGAACAAAUGUGCAAUAAUAUUGUUAUCACUUUUCAUCAUAUUCCUGCUGUUAAACAAUAUUCUAUAAGUCUCUAUACUAAUAUUUUAAUCAAUAAAAAAUUAAACCUAGUUUUAUUGAUGGCCUUGUGCCCUUUUACCUGAAAAAGCUAAUCAUUUAUGCUCUCACUCAUCCUGUUUGAUAAAUAGGUUUCACAAUUUCAUAGAUGCAUGGACAUCCAAAAUUAAAAUAAGAUGUUUUCUUGUGUUGAUAAUGUCUCCACUGCUAAAGGAGAAGAAAUGUAGCAUUGGGAAGAGUGAUCUAGUUUGUUAUCCGUGUACAUGAACAUAUAACUUAACUAAGCUCUAUAGUUAAAGUGGCGAGAAUAAAGGACAAAUGGCCAGUAAAGAAAGAGCAAACUGUAAAAAGUAUCUCGUGUAUGUUUUCUCCAUUUCCAUACAUCUAUAGUCCAACCUCUUUCUUCCUCAAGUCCCCUAGAUAUACAGUGAGAAUAGAUGUAGACAAACAUUCCAUUGAUUUUUUUUUNUUUUUUUUUCUUGAGGCGACAAUUAAAAAUAUAGAUUUGCAACUUGGCGUUAUAUAGCAUUCUCACUUGUCAUUGACUACAGUAAUAUCAAAAGAAUGUUGCAUCUAGAAAUUAGGUUAUUCAUAGCCAUUAAUCUCCUGUUUAUCAAAGCUUAGAAAGGGCAAAAAGCAUUGGACAUACAUACAUACCGACUGACAGACAUGCAUGCAUGUGCGUAAGUGCAUACCAACGUACCUACAUGCGUACACUCAUGCAUGCAUGGUUGAUGAAUUCUUUGAUGCCAUUUAGUAAUGGUCUGUUGGAUUAUCAAAAUGGUCAAAAAAUUUCAUCCAAAAUUUCAAGAAAAUUGGUGGCAAAAAUUGAUUCAUCAUCAACUUAUCAUUCGAGGCCAUGAACAGGAUUGACAUGUGCAAUGCCAUUCCCUGAUUCAUUGCAAUGAGUACCAUCUUGACACCAAUUCUGUAAUUUUAAUUUAACUUUUAUAGAACUCUUCUUUUCUAGAAAUCCAUAAACUCAAACAUCAUCCAAUUCAACGCAACAGCGUAUUCAAUGCUCAAUAUUAUUAAAAUAAAGGAUCAAUUGGCAUUUGAAAGUAUUUUCCAGAGGCUAAUAAUACCUACAGAAGUUAUUUGGCUGGUAACUUAUUAAAACCAUGAUUUUACUCUUUUGAGCUUAUAAUAUCCUAAAUCUAUGAUAAUGAAAAACUGAAAAUAAGGCAAAUGAUGUUACAAUAGAACAAAUAAUAGUAAGUUGACACCUAAAUUGUCCAAUAUCAGCAGCAUCAACAUCUGAGAUAGCUGCAUCCAAACCACAACUUUGACCGUAUAAAAAAUAAGUGAUUUGAUUCUAUGUAUUCUUUCAUAAGAAGAAAGGUCAGAAAUUCUAUAUUUGUAACAUAGUAAGGAGAAAUCGUCUACAGAGAAUUUCCAAAUGAAUUUGGGUGCAAGUCGGGAGAACCCUUAAGAAGAAGGAACCUAUUAAAGCUCGAUAGUUUAGGUGCAUGACAAAGGCAGACAUAGCUACUUCACCAUUCAAAAGAAGACAUGUUGCCAGAUCAUAAGCCCCGGAAGAGGCAAAAGAGAAAGAAAAUCGCGGUCCUUACAUUCGAAAGAACCGUAGCAAGAAGUAAAACUAUAUACAUUCAGAGUGCUUUGAAACAGCCCUGACUAUCCAAGUGAGUUUCACUUAGAUUACAGAGAAAUAUCCAUCAUACUGUCUUUUCCUUACUCAUACAACGACCAUGUCAUCUACUAUACAGUUGGUCAUAGUCAGUGUCGUAAAAGGCUCUUCUGGUCAAACCGUCAAGUGUGCAGAGUCCAAAGUAGCUCAAAGCUUACAACAUAAUGCCUGCAAUAUGGUCCAGAAGUUUCCAGGCAUUGCCUAGAAGAACAUCAUACGAAAACAUCCUUUUCCCCUCAUUUUUCUUUUCUUCCAUAUAUACGAAUGUAGGGAUUCCUCAAUCAGACACACUACAAAUGACCAGAGUACACUAGUUAUGCUACUUCAAGUCUUCAUAAUUAGUGUCCCACCAGAAAUUUCUUAAAAUUUAAGUCGUACUCAUUUUUGGUAAAACAAAUAUUAAUUAUAUGCUGUCAAAUUCGUAUAUUUAGUAUUAAUUAUUUAUUCUAUUGCAGUUUAUUUUACACAAUCUUCUAUACUGAAGUAGUAUAUGUAAAACAGUUCAUCGCACACCUUUGCAUCUUAAAACACUGCACCUCAGUAUCUCUUGACAAAUUCAGCCAAUGUCAGCAAAGAAGUACAAGUUACUAAACCACAUGGAACUGCUUAGCUACUUGCCAGCCACUUUCCAUGGUGAUUUGAAUGUCUACAACUUCAACUAUCUAGCCUAAAUACUGGAAGAAAUCAGACAUUACAUAAAAAAAUAUCCGUUCUUGUUGAAACAAAAAGUAGUAAAACUUAGGAAGAGGUCCCAGACCAUAUAUUGGAAUUCAAAAAAGGGGGGGGUCAAACUCAAUUGACCACAUUAUUCUUAUACUAAACAGAUACCCUCAACAGCAGAGGCACUUUGAACUGAAUAGAAAUAAAACUGUCGACCAUUACCAGAAUACAAACUUGGCCCAAUUCAAAAAAAAAAAUUCCAUGGAAGUAAGUUUUUCUUUCUUGACAUCCAUUACUUGGAGUUCGGCCCACUCAUCAAUAUCAAUAUCAAUAAACACUCUAAAAUCUUGCUGGAUUGAAUUUUAAAAAGAAAAGAGAGAGAAAAUAAAAGAAGAAAUAUGUCACGGACGGCAAGGGAGUAACAUUAGGUUUGACAUGAUGUAGGAAUGUCGUGGCACACGUUGGCGAAAUGAGGUAGACCUAUGGCAAAUUAGGUCUAACCUUCGAUGGAACAUGGUAAUGAAGGUGUCGCCUAAUUUGGUGAGAGAGUGACUUAAGUCCCCCAAGGUCGUAACUGAUACAUCCAAGUUGCAGCUGGGGAAAUCGGGUAACGCAGGUAGUGUGCUACGGUACGACGGAACUACAUACAAUAGAGGACGCAGGAUGGGAGAACACAGGCACUGUGGUAAGGACACAGGCAAUAACACAAGAGGAUUGUGCAGACAGAACAUAGGCAGCAAAUGUAGUCAGGCUAUGCAGGCAGGAUGCAGGCUAGGAAAACGUCGGUAGGGGAUGUAGGGAUGGAAAUCAAGCUUUUCUAAGGUGAAAACCACUAUCGUGAGGGAGAGAAAUACCGUUGACUACGGCCAGUGGUUUUGGACGCAAGUGGGUGACAACUUGUGCAACUUGCAUAGGGAAGCCAAGUCCAAAUUGACUACUACAAGUUUGAUGGAGGAAGCAAAAUUCAACUUGACCAUUAUGAUAAGGACAUGUCCACUUGCAUAUGAAUGUAGCUAUUGUCCACUUGCAUAGAAAGGGACAUGCCUACUAGAAUAAAGUUGGAAAGGGACAUUCAACUUGUAGCAUGACAACUUGCAAGUGUAGAAACAUGCAACUUGCAAAGUAGCAAAUUCUAAUUUAGCUACCCUAUGGUCUAAGGAGGUGGAUGACAACUUGCAACCAAUCAAGACCGUAGAAUCAUGAUUAAUCCUAACCAUUGACACCAACUUGCCUAGCAAGAGUUUGCAUAUAAAUAGAGGUGCUUAGUCAUUUGUAAAAUCCUAAGAAUGAGGAGUUGAGAGAAAAUUCUCAUGGAUGGAAUGGGAGUAAAGUAAGGUUAGAAAAUAUUUUAGAGUUUAUAAAUAAUUCUCUUACAUUUAUACAAAGAAGUUUUCUCAUAUUUAUGCGUGUUCUCUUUUUCCCAUAAUAUCCUAUCCACCUUCUCUGCUCAAAGACAUAAUUUAACCUCAUUAGUUAAAUUAUUGUGGGGUUUAAAGCUGACUUAACAAUAUCUCAUAGGAACGGGAGUUGUGAAGCGAUAAGGCUGCAAGGUGCAAGCAUAAU
rnacentral:lncRNA from 1 species